rnacentral:rRNA from 1 species
AGAGUUUGAUCAUGGCUCAGAUUGAACGCUGGCGGCAGGCCUAACACAUGCAAGUCGAGCGGAUGAAGGGAGCUUGCUCCCUGAUUCAGCGGCGGACGGGUGAGUAAUGCCUAGGAAUCUGCCUGGUAGUGGGGGACAACGUUUCGAAAGGAACGCUAAUACCGCAUACGUCCUACGGGAGAAAGCAGGGGACCUUCGGGCCUUGCGCUAUCAGAUGAGCCUAGGUCGGAUUAGCUAGUUGGUGAGGUAAUGGCUCACCAAGGCGACGAUCCGUAACUGGUCUGAGAGGAUGAUCAGUCACACUGGAACUGAGACACGGUCCAGACUCCUACGGGAGGCAGCAGUGGGGAAUAUUGGACAAUGGGCGAAAGCCUGAUCCAGCCAUGCCGCGUGUGUGAAGAAGGUCUUCGGAUUGUAAAGCACUUUAAGUUGGGAGGAAGGGUUGCUGAUUAAUACUCUGCAAUUUUGACGUUACCGACAGAAUAAGCACCGGCUAACUCUGUGCCAGCAGCCGCGGUAAUAC